rnacentral:lncRNA from 1 species
UGACAUUAAUAUAAAAACGCUCCAACUCCUGAUAUUAGAUGAUGAUUUUGAAUGUCUUUCAUUUGUAUAGUACUACAGAAGUAAAGAUGAAAAUGAAACUGACAACUGCUAUUUUUUUGUUGACCCUUUUCGUAAUGAUUUCAGUUUCCGUCGUUAAAGUAGUGGCCGAUCACGGAUGCCCUGAUGAUUAUAUGGAAUGUGGAAAGUAUUGUAGGGAGACUCAUACAAGACCAGGGAUGUGCAGUGGAGAUACUUGCAAGUGCGUUUUUGUGUAGGGAUUCUCAUUUGGACAUUCGGGCAGUUGAUUCUCAUAUUGUAUUACAUUAUCAAGCGCUAUUGAUGGAAUCAGAAGCUCCAAGCUUGUCUGAAUUCUGAAUUUGUUGAAGCACACGAACAUCAGUAUUUAAAAAUUUUCUCAACAAUGAUUAUAUUUUUGAGUAAUAAAGAUACUAACAUUUAUAAAUAUAA